CCCCUCUCAAGGUUGCAUCUGGAGAGUUUCCAGUACUCUACCAGUCUCAGCUAUGGGAGGGACAGUAAAGCAGAGUCCUAAUCAUUCCGUUCCUAACUUGGGCAGUGGCUAGCCAGUGGAGGGCAAUCUGCUACAAGU